UGUUUUGUUUCUAAUGUUUGUAUGUUGUGUGCCUGUGUGUGCGUGUGUUUUAUUUGACCCAUAACUGUAUGAAGUCGCUAAAUCCUAGAGGGGAUGACAGAGACGUCCCUGGUUCAGCCUUUUUUGCCCCAGUCGUUGCAGAAAUGUUGGAAAAGUGAGUACUAUCCUUCUCUUUAAAUUGGCUUUUGAAAGUAUACUUUCUGCAGACUCCUGUCCGUGGUUUAGGUACUUGAUUUGGGUGAAACAGAGCCAGACUUUCCUAUUAACUAGUGCCCCGAGUGCAAUUCCCUGUCGUCAGAGAACAAGAACUAUAAACGGUGCUUGGCAGUUAUAAAUGUCUUGGCUUCUACAAAGGCUAACUUGCCAAAGCAAAUAGCAAGUAACCUAAAGACGCUGAAUAGGAAAGGUCCUCUUCUCGAUGGGAAAAGAGCUUCCCAGAACGUGAGCUCUGUUUUCCCGUAGGGCUCCCUACUUACCCAGCCGUUCAGCGAUUAUCGCAGGCUUUGCCCGGUCCCCUCAGGUCCAAUAUCGCACAAGCGUUGUGCUGCAGACGGUACCGCAGCUUACUCUCCAUCUCGUGCUGCGUUUCUCGUACCCGCAGAAAACUUACUUCAGCAUCAAAUAAACCCCGUGGGAAGCGUACCCGACUCAUGCCUGCAGGACCAUCCCGUUGGGGCUGGUAAAAUCCAUGAACGGGGCGAUGCUUGGAAGAAUGUCACCUAUGGAGAAGGCAACACUCUCCUUCUGGGCAACAGUUUUUGGAGACUGGUUUCCCCACCCCACUGUGCAUUUUGAAGGAGGCAGUCCCUAAGCUGAUGCAAUCCAACUGCAUCUAAGCUGUAGUUCUGUAGCAUCUGUAGCAAAAUAAACUGCCAGAUGAAUAAACGAGCAGGUACAAAUACGCUUGACUCUAUAGCUGAGAUUAAAUAACGUGCAGUUUCUUAUGUGUUUUACCUUUCAAAGCACGUUGUUUCCGAGCGCCUGAGCUUUUUGCUCGUAUUACCGAGGAAGGGAAUGGCUGCGCUUCUUCCCCCCUCAUCCCUCUAUUUUAAUUUCUCCUCUUUUCCCUCGAUGACAGGGAUUCAGAAUGUUUUCCUCAGCUGUCCACGUGAAAAUCUUUAAAAAUACAAGAAAACGCUGAUGGUGAACGCUGACAGAAUGGGGUGACAUUUUCAAGAUAGGAAAAGCUCUUUCCAGCAAGACGGAGAAGGAAUUAAUUAUACCUCUGCCUCAUCCCGUGAGACCAGAAGACACCGAGUAACUAACUGUAAGCUGCGAAUCUCAGGAGUCGCAUGGCUAGGAGUCUCAGGUUCCUCCUCUGCCUGGCCCCAAGGCCCCAGGGAUGAGAAAUCUUAGGUUUUAUGUUUUUUUCCCUAUGAAAUCCUGUCACGUUAAGGGACGUAGCUAGCUAAUUGUUAUGGUUCUGGUCAGAUUCAGGGUACUGGACUAUCAUGGACAUGGAUUCACCCAAUAACAUAGCACGCCCUUGCUCUAGUCCCGUUCAAUGAGUACUGUCACGGCUAGGAACAAUGCAACGAACAGCAAUUCCUUAGAGCGACAAGGACACGGGUUCUUUGGAUUGCCGGCGAUAAAUUCUCUGUCCGCAAAAGCAAGGGAGCACGCAUGACAUACACAGGUAAUCGUCCUGGCUGUUAACGCGUUAAAAGACACAAAGGCUCUAGAUAUUUCUAAGUUUCCAAGGAGACACGUGGUACAACCAAGUGUUCCAAUAUUACCCCACGGCGUCCCAGUGCGGGGGGAGGAGAGGCUCAGCCCAUCGACUGAUUGCAGAAGUCAGAAAGUUUAAUUUGCCUAGUUACUUCAGGCAGUUACUCCACAGCUACCCAAAGCAGCGAUAGUGACAAGCCCGCUUCCAGCAUCCGUUCCCCAUGCAGGGAUGGCCACAGGGAUGGACAGACGGAGGCCGCUCGAUGCGUUGCCCCCCAGGGGAGGGGGAAUCGCCGUGUGCCCACCAGUGCAGGUUCCGUAGCGGGCCUUAGAUAAACCUUAGGAGGAACCGGUCCAAGGAAGGAGCGCCUUCUGGAACCGUCGAGCCUUCAUUUGGCAGCUCGGUGACUGGCUCGGUCUACUUGUGAGGUGCUGAGGGAAGAUGUCUGCUGUUCCGAAACGAUACAAAUAAAAACUGGGGUCCCUUGUGUCGUUGAGGGGUGGGUGCUAAUGCUGGCAGCUGAAUGGUUAUCCUCUGACUACGUUUUGGUGUGUUGAAGCUGAAAGGCAGCCUGCAACCUAGGACGUCAUCCCAGCCAGAGCUGCCUCUGGCAAGGUGAGUGAUGCAGCAGUUCCUUUUGCGUUGCCGUUCUCAGUGUCAUUCUGAGUGUCCCCGCUUUGCCUUUUCGAGGUGUUGUAGCUGGCUUAAGAGGGCAGAUGGACGCUUCUGUCUCGGGGACAGGUGAGCGGGCAGAGGUAAGGCAGCCGGUGAGAGUAACUCUGCUGUGGUCUUGGGGUUCUGAGCUUCCUGGUGGCCACGGUGGGUUCGUGAUUCUCAUCUCCCUGCCUUUUUUCUCCGGGUAAAAAAAUGGAGUGUUUCAGG